GUUAGAACGCUCGUAGUCGGAUUUCGGGGCGGGCCGACCGGUCUGCCGAUGGGUACGCACUGGUCGGCGCGUCCUUCCUUCCGGAGACCGUGCCUACUCUUAACUGAGCGGGGGCGGGAGACGGAACGUUUACUUUGAAAAAAUCAGAGUGUUUCAAGCAGGCAGCUCGCUCUUGCAUGGAUUAGCAUGGGAUAAUGAAAUAGGACUUUGGUGCUAUUUUGUUGGUUUCGAACACCGAAGUAAUGAUGAGAAGGGACAGUCAGGGGCACUCGUAUUCCGCCGAGAGAGGUGAAAUUCUCAGACCAGCGGAAGACGAACCACUGCGAAAGCAUUUGCCAGGGAUGUUUUCACUGAUCAAGAACGAAAGUUAGGGGAUCGAAGACGAUCAGAUACCGUCGUAGUCUUAACCAUAAACCAUACCGACUAGGGAUUGGAGGAUGUUCACUGAUUGACUCCUUCAGCACCUUACGGGAAACUAAAGUCUUUGGGUUCCGGGGGGAGUAUGGUCGCAAGGCUGAAACUUAAAGGAAUUGACGGAAGGGCACCACCAGGUGUGGAGCCUGCGGCUUAAUUUGACUCAACACGGGGAAACUUACCAGGUCCAGACAUUGUGAGGAUUGACAGAUUGAGAGCUCUUUCUUGAUUUGAUGGGUGGUGGUGCAUGGCCGUUCUUAGUUGGUGGAGUGAUUUGUCUGGUUAAUUCCGUUAA
rnacentral:rRNA from 1 species